rnacentral:rRNA from 1 species
CAAUACGGAGGGUGCAAGCGUUGUUCGGAAUUACUGGGCGUAAAGCGCGUGUAGGCGGUGUCGCAAGUCGGGUGUGAAAUCCCUCGGCUCAACCGAGGAACUGCGCACGAAACUGCGAUACUAGAGUACGGGAGAGGGGCGUGGAAUUCCUGGUGUAGAGGUGAAAUUCGUAGAUAUCAGGAGGAACACCCGUGGCGAAGGCGACGCCCUGGACCGAUACUGACGCUGAGACGCGAAAGCGUGGGGAGCAAACAGGAUUAGAUACCCUGGUAGUCCACGCCGUAAACGAUGGGUACUAGAUGCUGCGGGUAUUACCCCUGCGGUGUCGAAGCUAACGUAUUAAGUACCCCGCCUGGGGAGUACGGCCGCAAGGCUA